AGCUAAGAAUCUUCCGCAAUGGACGAAAGUCUGACGGAGCGACGCCGCGUGAACGAUGAAGGCCGUGAGGUUGUAAAGUUCUUUUCCGAGGGGAGAAUAAGGAUGGCAGGGAAUGGCCGUCUGAUGACGUGAACUCGGGAAUAAGCCCCGGCUAACUACGUGCCAGCAGCCGCGGUAACACGUAGGGGGCGAGCGUUGUUCGGAAUCAUUGGGCGUAAAGGGUGCGCAGGCGGUGAUGCAAGUCUGGUGUGAAAGAUCUCGGCUCAACCGAGGGACCGCGCUGGAAACUGUGUUACUAGAGUACAGGAGGGGGAGUUGGAAUUCCAGGUGUAGGGGUGAAAUCUGUAGAUAUCUGGAAGAACACCGGUGGCGAAGGCGAACUUCUGGCCAUGUACUGACGCUGAGGCACGAAGGCGUGGGGAGCAAACAGGUUUAGAUACCCUGGUAGUCCACGCAGUAAACGAUGUACACUAGGUGGUGGGUGGUAGCACUCAGUACCGAAGCUAACGC
rnacentral:rRNA from 1 species